rnacentral:rRNA from 1 species
UUGAACGCUGGCGGCAGGCCUAACUCCUGCAAGUCGCACGGUAACAGGAAGAAGCUUGCUUCUUUGCUGACGAGUGGCGGACGGGUGAGUAAUGUCUGGGAAACUGCCUGAUGGAGGGGGAUAACUACUGGAAACGGUAGCUAAUACCGCAUAACGUCGCAAGACCAAAGAGGGGGACCUUCGGGCCUCUUUCCAUCUGAUGUGCCCAGAUGGGAUUAGCUAGUAGGUGGGGUAACGCCUAACCUAGGCGACGAUCCCUAGCUGGUCUGAGAGGAUGACCAGCCACACUGGAACUGAGACACGUCCCAGCCUCCUACGGGAGGCAGAAGAGGGAAAUAUUGCAAAAUGGGCGCAAGCCUGAGGCAGCCAUGCCGCGUGUAUGAAGAAGGCCUUCGGGUUGUAAAGUACUUUAAGCGGGGAGAAAGGAAGUAAAGUUAAUACCUUUCCUCAUUGACGUUACCCGCAGAAGAAGCACCGGCUAACUCCGU